UAUAUUUACUUCUUUAUAUGUUGAAUCAACCCUGCCAUUGAUCACCUUUAGCAUUUUAAUGCUUUGACAUAAGAAAUCCGAUCUUCUGCAUGUUAUAUGUUAAUUUAGCUAUUAAGGUGUGUGGUAGGAUAGUUAAGAUCCCUCAUCCUCAACUAAAACUUUAUGUUUGAGUUGUCAUAAAAGAUAAUAUCUUGGUAAGGAAUAUUUUACAUCUCUCAACGUGGACCUAUUUGGCACAAAUUUGAAUUAGUUGUGUCAGUAGAUUCAAUUGUGAACGUGGUUCAUAAAACAAAAACAAAACAAAACAAAAAAGAUAAAGUGUUCUCUCGUGAAAUCGACGUACGUAAUUAAGGGCUAAAAUGAUUUUUGCUACUACUUUUUAUAUCAUAGAUAGUACUUAAUCUAUUGUUAUGCAUCAGGAAAAGGUUAGUCAGUUGAUGGACAACGUUGGGAAUGUUGCGCAAUCUACUAAGAAAACCGUGGGAAAGAUGGGGGACCAAGUGAAGACCACAACACUAGGAGCAGUUGAUGCCGUUAAAAACGCCACUGGAAUGAAAAAAUGAACCUCGUUAAUUUUCACCAUAUAUAUUAUAUUUUAUGUGAAGAUCUUGUUUCUUAUACUUUAGGCUACAUUAUGUAGCUUACGUUUGAACUCUUGUUGAGUCUGAAUUGUACUAUAAAAGCUGUAUCUUCAAUAAUAUUGUAUUGUUUCUUAUAAUUAAGUAGUUUCCCUGCUUAUAUUUGAGCCCUUGCAAUAUAUAUAUGAUCCAACUCUACUUGGAGAUGGGUUAUUAGAUA